UGGCGCACCGGCGUAAGGGGCAGUAAUGCAUGGGUACCUACCCCGGGGUUGGGCAUAGCCCGUAGAAAUACGGGGUAAUUCCCAGCGAUGUCGAAAGACCAAAGCUCCGGCGCCCUGGGAGGGGCCCAUGUGAUAUUAGCUAGUUGGUGAGGUAACGGCUCACCAAGGCGAAGAUGUCUAGCGGGUGUGAGAGCACGACCCGCGCCACUGGCACUGAGACACUGGCCAGACACCUACGGGUGGCUGCAGUCGAGGAUCUUCGGCAAUGGGCGCAAGCCUGACCGAGCGACGCCGCGUGUGCGACGAAGGCCUUCGGGUUGUAAAGCACUGUCGAGAGGGAGAAAAGCGAAAGCUUGAUCUAUCUCUGGAGGAAGCACGGGCUAAGUUCGUGCCAGCAGCCGCGGUAAGACGAACCGUGCGAACGUUGUUCGGAAUAACUGGGCUUAAAGGGCGCGUAGGCGGGCUGCCAAGUUCGGGGUGAAAUCCUCCCGCUCAACGGGAGAACUGCCCCGAAUACUGGCGGUCUCGAGGAAGGUAGGGGCGUGCGGAACUAUGGGUGGAGCGGUGAAAUGCGUUGAUAUCCAUAGGAACU
rnacentral:rRNA from 1 species